rnacentral:lncRNA from 1 species
AAGAAAUGUUUUUGAAAAAGGUGGAAGUAGGUAGAGGGACGUGCUCUGAACCAGCGUGACCAAAAGACAGUGUGUUCACGGUGCAUUCAUCUGAUUCAAUUCCUGCCAAAGGCUUUUGUUAUUUGAGAACAUUAUGACUAAACCAACAGAGAGGAAGGACAUUCUGAAUACGGGUGAGAGACUGCGCGUUGGACAAUCACUGUGAGUCCCGACCCUUACCAGAAAAGUCACUCGCAGCGUCGUUUCCAGGCAUAGGUUAGGAUCACCAUCCUCUCCCACGGGCCGUAUGUUGCAAUCCUGAUAUGAAAACGUCUUCUAUCUCCUUCAACUGCGGCAGGAGCACAGCUCUGCAGAUUUGCUGGGGCUCUGUGGCGCAGUGGAGGCGAGGACAGAGGUGGCCCUGCUCUGGGAGAUCCCUUCCUAACUGGGGCUCCCUGACGGCUUCCUGCACAGGAGGGGCCCGACGCCGGCGGGACAAGCAGGGAGCCCAGAUCAGCCUUGGAAAGCUCAGGCUCAAACCAGAGCUCAAUGUGGAAAUUAAAAAACAAACCUUGA